GAUGAACGCUGGCGGCGUGCCUAAUACAUGCAAGUCGAGCGAACAGACGAGGAGCUUGCUCCUCUGACGUUAGCGGCGGACGGGUUAGUAACACGUGUAUAACCUACCUAUAAGACUGGGAUAACUUCGGGAAACCGGAGCUAAUACCGGAUAAUAUAUUGAACCGCAUGGUUCAAUAGUGAAAGACGGUUUUGCUGUCACUUAUAGAUGGAUCCGCGCCGCAUUAGCUAGUUGGUAAGGUAACGGCUUACCAAGGCAACGAUGCGUAGCCGACCUGAGAGGGUGAUCGGCCACACUGGAACUGAGACACGGUCCAGACUCCUACGGGAGGCAGCAGUAGGGAAUCUUCCGCAAUGGGCGAAAGCUUGACGGAGCAACGCCGCGUGCGUGAUGAAGGCCUUCGGAUCGUAAACUUCUGUUAUUAGGGAAGAACAAAUGUGUAAGUAACUAUGCACGUCUUGACGGUACCUAAUCAGAAAGCCACGGCUAACUACGUG
rnacentral:rRNA from 1 species